AGAGUUUGAUCAUGGCUCAGAGCGAACGCUGGCGGCGUACUUAACACAUGCAAGUCGAACGAGGAGUUUCGGUGUAGCAAUACAUCGGAGCUUCGAGUGGCGCACGGGUGAGUAACACGUGGGCAACCUGCCCUUGAGACCGGGAUACCCCCUCGAAAGGGGGGCUAAUACUGGAUACGCUCCUCGGGUCGCGAGAUCGGGGGAGGAAAGGUGGCGAAAGCUGCCGCUCUUGGAGGGGGCUCGCGGCCUAUCAGCUAGUUGGUGAGGUCAUGGCUCACCNGGCAAUGACGGGUAGCUGGUCUGAGAGGACGACCAGCCACACGGGGACUGAGACACGGCCCCGACUCCUACGGGAGGCAGCAGUGGGGAAUUUUCCGCAAUGGGCGAAAGCCUGACGGAGUGACGCCGCGUGGGGGACGAAGGCCUUCGGGUCGUAAACCCCUGUCAGAGGGAAAGAAGGGUCGUGCGGUGAACAGCCGCUCGAUCUGACGGUACCUUCAGAGGAAGCCCCGGCCAACUCUGUGCCAGCAGCCGCGGUAAGACAGAGGGGGCAAGCGUUGCUCGGAAUUACUGGGCGUAAAGGGCGCGUAGGCGGGAUGGCAAGUCGGUCGUGAAAUCCCUCGGCUCAACCGAGGAGCGUCGGCCGAUACUGCCGUUCUUGAGGGAUGCAGAGGAGACUGGAAUUCCCGGUGUAGCGGUGAAAUGUGUAGAGAUCGGGAGGAACACCGGUGGCGAAGGCGGGUCUCUGGGCAUCUCCUGACGCUGAGGCGCGAAAGCGUGGGGAGCAAACGGGAUUAGAUACCCUAGUAGUCC
rnacentral:rRNA from 1 species